UAACUUUUUAGUAUUAACUUUUUAAAGACAAGAAGGGAUCGAAGACACAGAAGCCGAAAAAGACUUGAAGGAUUCAGAUGUAGGUUAUUUAGAUUUUAUUUUUGGGCAAGUACAUGCAUGUUUUGAUCAUUUUGUUAUUAUUGUUAUAUACAAGACUAUCCAAAAGAAGAGACAAACAACAACAGAUACAAGUUUUAUUGAAUAAACAAAAAA